rnacentral:rRNA from 1 species
CAAGGGUGCCGGCGAGCGGCGGACGGGUGAGCAAUACAUAGGAAUCUACCUUAGAGCGGGGGAUAGCCCGGGGAAACCCGGAUUAAUACCGCAUGAUGUCGAAAGACCAAAGUGGGGGAUCGUAAGACCUCACACUCUGAGAUGAGCCUAUGUCGGAUUAGCUAGUUGGCGGGGUAACGGCCCACCAAGGCGACGAUCCGUAGCUGGUCUGAGAGGACGAUCAGCCACACCGGAACUGAGACACGGUCCGGACUCCUACGGGAGGCAGCAGUGGGGAAUAUUGGACAAUGGGCGAAAGCCUGAUCCAGCGACGCCGCGUGGGUGAAGAAGGCCUUCGGGUUGUAAAGCCCUUUAAGCCGGGACGAAAAAGCUGCACCUAACACGUGCGGCCUUGACGGUACCGGAAGAAUAG